GGGAAUCUGGCUUAGUGGUAAAGUACUUGCCUAGCACGCAAAAAGCCCUGGGUUUGAUCCCUCAUUACCA
rnacentral:tRNA from 1 species